UACAGACACUGGAGAUUCUGAUAACGCUAGUAGUGGUGUCAUCUCUAAUUCACCAUCAUCCGACUUUAACGUUCCAACCAUCGUUCUAGCGGCUGCGCUGGGUAUAUUCAUCACCAUGUCUGUAGCUUUGUGUAUUGUAGUGAUGGUGAAGAAAACAAGAACAUAUUCCGAAGAUAUUAACAGCUCAACAGCAGAUUUAUUGUCGAUUCAUAGUAACAGGUUCCGUGUUGUACAAGUCGAGCCUUCAUAUAGGAACCAGCAAAAUGUCCAACUUUCGACGCCUAAAAUGACACCAGUUGAAUGAUGUAAACAGACGCAACAAGCGCUGUUGGAUGUUUUGUAUACCAGAGAUGC